rnacentral:lncRNA from 1 species
UAUAAACAAAUAUAUAGGUAUAUUCUUAUAUUUUUUAUCUACUCUCACCAUUUUUUUUUAUCAUCAUUUUUUCAUAUAUCGUUAAACAUUUUAUUUUUAUCCUCCUUGAUUUUUUUAUAUUUUCCUUCUUUAUUAUUAUUUUUUUAUUUAUUAUUAUUUCUAUUUUCUCUUAGCAUCUAAUCAUUUUAAAAGUAUUUUAUCUUUUUAUUUUACCUAACAACAUACUAUGACUAAUUUAUCCAUCUAUCAAACAUUGGGCCAAAGACAACCACAAAGUCCAAAUCAAAAGAAAAUAUUUACCUUUUAUGCGCUAGAGUGGCCCACGAUAACCGGAUCACUCCCACUGAUCUGCUUCCCAAGGCUUUCAGACCACUCCCAAAACGCACCGUUUCGGUGUCUUGUUCAGUAGCCCUUGGUGCGCCCAAAACGACGCCGUUUGGAGGGAAUAAAGCGGACUUUGGAUGGGUUACUGGACGACGUCGUUUAAGCCCUCUGAACCCUAGCUAUAAAAACCUCAUUUCCUUCCUUCUCUUUCAUUUUCUUUCUCUCUCUACCCGUCGGCUCUCUCUCCCUUCUCUCUACUCUUUCACCGACUUCCCUUCUGAUCGGCGGACAUCCAAAACUAGCUAUGCCGCCGGCUAACCCUCUCUUUGUUCACUCCGACGUCGCCGGCGUCGCACCCAAGACCGGCAGCACCCCCUAUUUUUACCCAAACUAGAUCUCCCUUUUUUACGCUGUCACCGGUUCCCUUACACGACCGGAUCUGCCUCUUUCUCCGUUAGCGGCACCCAAAGCCCAAUCUCUCCCUUCACCGCCGAUCAGUUCACCCUCUCCCUACUCUGCCGACUUCCUUCUCUCUCUAUCUUUGUCUAAAGCCGGCAUCACAACCACCCCCAAAACCCAGGGCUUUCUACUCCUUUUGUGCCCAUAUUUUCUGAUUCCUUUUGAUAUUGCUUGAUCUCUAUUUUUGAUUUCUGGAUUGUGGGUUUUUGUUUUGGCUGUUAGACUUAGGGAUUUUCUUUGCAGGUUAUGCCUUGUUGCUAUUUUUUU